rnacentral:misc_RNA from 1 species
GUGAAUCAUCAAAUUUUUGAACGCAAAUUGCACUCUCUGGUAUUCCGGGGAGUAUGCCUGUUUGAGGGUCAGUUUAAAUAGAAAUCGGUGUGGCUGCUGCAUUUCGUGGUGAUGCACAGGAUGUGGGUCGUCUUGGGUUCGGUUAAGUGACUUAAAAUUUUGCAUGAUUUUUUCGAACGUAUUUAAAUGUGUUUAAGUACGUUUGCGAUAUCGAAUACUAGGUGAGGUCAUGCUCAUGAUACGCGC